AAACAUCCACUGGGUAGUAAUAAAAAAUAAAACCUUAAAACUUGGCGGUUAUAAUUUCUUAAAGAAACUCGUUUUUUAAUCGAUAAAACUCGAUAAAUUUAACUUAUUAUUUCAUAAUUUAUAUACCGCCGUUAAAUAAAUGAAAUAAACUAAAAUAAAUUUCUAAAUUAAAACAAUACAAAAAUCAGGUCAAGGUGUAAUAUAUAUAUAAGUAAAAAUAAGUUACAUAUAAAUACAAUUUAAGAAAUUACUACAAAAAUAAAAAAGAAAAAGAAUUUAUCAUUAAUUUAAAAUUAAAAUUUUUAAAAGAAAAACAAAAUUAUAAUGC
rnacentral:rRNA from 1 species